ACCCUUGACAUGUCCAGUAUGGUUUCCAGAGAUGGAUUCCUUCAGUUCGGCUGGCUGGAACACAGGUGCUGCAUGGCUGUCGUCAGCUCGUGUCGUGAGAUGUUGGGUUAAGUCCCGCAACGAGCGCAACCCUCAUCCUUAGUUGCCAUCACGUUUGGGUGGGCACUCUAAGGAAACUGCCGGUGGCAAGCCGGAGGAAGGUGGGGAUGACGUCAAGUCCUCAUGGCCCUUACGGGUAGGGCUACACACGUGCUACAAUGGCAGUGACAAUGGGAUAAUCCCAAAAAGCUGUCUCAGUUCGGAUUGUCGUCUGCAACUCGACGGCAUGAAGGUGGAAUCGCUAGUAAUCGUGGAUCAGCAUGCCACGGUGAAUACGUUCCCGGGCCUU
rnacentral:rRNA from 1 species